GUUAAGAGAUGUGAUUUUGUUUAAUUGCUAUUUAUCAUAAUAGUUUAUGAUAUAAUUUUAAAGUUUUCUGUUAUAGAAAUAAGUUGAAUAAAAGUCAUUCAAAUAAGACGGACGGAAGACGGAACUGAACGACCAUAUGAUAUCUCGUCCGACAGGAGCGCCAUUCUGGUCAAAUUUAGAAUUAUAUACACAUACAAAGAUGCCUAUAUAGCAAUCGUACAUGUAUUGAAUAAGGAAAGAAAUAAGCGGAAAAACGUUCUUCGAUUGACGGUUUCUUAUGAUCUGUGGUUUUGACAACGAUCUGUGCGUAAUUAUAUUUGCACGUGUUUUGUUAAGAGAUUUAUAUCGAUCCUAAUAAACUUGUACUGAAA